rnacentral:SRP_RNA from 1 species
GCCAGGCGGGGUGGCAUGUACCUGUAGCCCCAGCUACUGUGGAGGCUGAGGCUGGAGGUUUGCUUCAGCCCAGGAGUUCUGGGCUGUAGUGCGCUAUGCCGAUCGGGUGUCCGCACUGAGUUCGGCAUCAAUAUGGUGACCUUCCAGGAGCCGGGGACCACCAGGUUGCCUAAGGAGGGGUGACCCAACCCAGGUCGGAAACGGAGCAGGUCAAAACUCCCGCGCCGAUCAGUAGUGGGAUCGAACCUGUGAACAGCCAUUGCAACAGAGCAAUACCCCAUCUCA